rnacentral:rRNA from 3 species
GACAGAGGGUGCGAACGUUGUUCGGAAUUACUGGGCGUAAAGCGCGUGUAGGCGGUCGUGCAAGUCGGGUGUGAAAGCCCUGGGCUCAACCCAGGAAGUGCAUUCGAUACUGCGCGACUGGAGUCCCGGAGAGGAUGGUGGAACUCUCGGUGUAGAGGUGAAAUUCGUAGAUAUCGAGAAGAACACCGGUGGCGAAGGCGGCCAUCUGGACGGUGACUGACGCUGAGACGCGAAAGCGUGGGGAGCAAACAGG